CCCUUAGAUGUUCUGGGCCGCACGCGUGCUACACUGAGUGGAUCAGCGGGUCAGGUUGCGCGAAAGUGUUUCCUAAUCUUGAAAUCCGCUCGUGAUGGGGAUUGACGGUUGCAAUUUUCCGUCAUGAACGAGGAAUACCUUGUAAGCGCGGGUCAUCAUCCCGCGCUGAAUACGUCCCUGCCCUUUGUACACACCGCCCGUCGCUCCUACCGAUUGAGUGGUCCGGUGAGGCUUUGGGAUCUGAGCAAAGAGAGCGUUUCGCUCGUUUUGCCCGGAAAACUCAGUCGAACCUUAUCAUUUAGAGGAAGGAGAAGGCGUAACA
rnacentral:rRNA from 1 species